UAAUACGAAGGGGGCGAGCGUUGUUCGGAAUUACUGGGCUUAAAGCGUGCGUAGGCGGACUUGUAAGUCAGAAGUGAAAGCCCUGGGCUUAACCCAGGAAUUGCUUUUGAGACUGCAAGUCUAGAAACCGGAAGAGGUUGAGGGAAUAUCCAGUGUAGAGGUGAAAUUCGCAGAUAUUGGAUAGAACACCAGUGGCGAAGGCGCUCAACUGGUCCGGUAUUGACGCUGAGGCACGAAAGCGUGGGUAGCAAACAGG
rnacentral:rRNA from 1 species